rnacentral:rRNA from 1 species
AGCGAACGCUGGCGGCAGGCUUAACACAUGCAAGUCGAGCGGGCAUCCUUGUGGUGUCAGCGGCAGACGGGUGAGUAACGCGUGGGAACGUGCCCUUCGGUUCGGAAUAACUCAGGGAAACUUGAGCUAAUACCGGAUACGUGCGAGAGCAGAAAGGUUUAUCUGCCGAAGGAUCGGCCCGCGUCUGAUUAGCUAGUUGGUGAGGUUACGGCUCACCAAGGCGACGAUCAGUAGCUGGUCUGAGAGGAUGAUCAGCCACACUGGGGCUGAGACACGGCCCAGACUCCUACGGGAGGCAGCAGUGGGGAAUAUUGGACAAUGGGGGCAACCCUGAUCCAGCCAUGCCGCGUGAGUGAUGACGGCCUUAGGGUUGUAAAGCUCUUUUCUCCGGGACGAUAAUGACGGUACCGGAGGAAUAAGCCCCGGCUAACUUCGUG